AUUGAACGCUGGCGGCAGGCCUAACACAUGCAAGUCGAGCGAGAGGAGGAAGGGUGAGGAAGGGAGGGGAAACUGCCUGAAGGAGGGGGAUAACUACUGGAAACGGUAGCAAAAACCGCAUACCAUCAGAUGGGGGACGGUGGGAUUAGCUAGUAGGUGGGGUAACGCCUCACCUAGGCGACGAUCACUAGCUGGUCUGAGAGGAUGACCAGCCACACUGGAACUGAGACACGGUCCAGACUCCUACGGGAGGCAGCAGUGGGGAAUAUUGCACAAUGGGCGCAAGCCUGAUGCAGCCAUUCCCCGUGUGUGAAGAAGGCCUUCGGGUUGUAAAGCACUUUCAGCCGGGAGGCGUUACCCGCAGAAUAAGCACCGUCUAACUCCGUGCCAGCAGCCGCGCUAAUAC
rnacentral:rRNA from 1 species